GACGAACGCUGGCGGCGUGCUUAACACAUGCAAGUCGAACGGAAAGGCCCUGCUUUUGUGGGGUGCUCGAGUGGCGAACGGGUGAGUAACACGUGAGUAACCUGCCCUUGACUUUGGGAUAACUUCAGGAAACUGGGGCUAAUACCGGAUAGGAGCUCCUGCUGCAUGGUGGGGGUUGGAAAGUUUCGGCGGUUGGGGAUGGACUCGCGGCUUAUCAGCUUGUUGGUGGGGUAGUGGCUUACCAAGGCUUUGACGGGUAGCCGGCCUGAGAGGGUGACCGGCCACAUUGGGACUAAGAGACGGCCCAGACUCCUACGGGAGGCAGCAGUGGGGAAUAUUGCGCAAUGGGCGGAAGCCUGAUGCAGCAGCGCCGCGUGCGGGAUGACGGCCUUCGGGUUGUAAACCGCUUUCGCCUGUGACGAAGCGUGAGUGACGGUAAUGGGUAAAGAAGCACCGGCUAACUACGUG
rnacentral:rRNA from 1 species